rnacentral:rRNA from 1 species
AUUGAACGCUGGCGGCAGGCCUAACACAUGCAAGUCGAGCGGAUGAAGGGAGCUUGCUCCUGGAUUCAGCGGCGGACGGGGGAGUAAUGCCUAGGAAUCUGCCUGGUAGUGGGGGAUAACGUCCGGAAAAGGGCGCUAAUACCGCAUACGUCCUGCGGGAGAAGGUGGGGGAGCUUCGGACCUCACGCUAUCAGAUGAGCCUAGGUCGGAUUGGCUAGUUGGUGGGGUAAGGGCCUACCAAGGCGAGUAUCCGUAACUGGUCUGUGAGGAUGAUCCCUCACACUGGAACUUGAACACGGUCCAUGCGCCUGCGAUAGGCCGCAGUCUGCAAUAGUGGACAGCGGUCGAAAGCCUUAUCCAACCAUGCCGAGUGUGUUAAGAAGGUCUUCCGAUUGGAAAGCCCGUUAUGUGGUGGGGAAGGGCAUUAAGUUAUUACCUUGCUUUUUUGACGUUACCAACAGAAUAAGCACCGGCUAACUUCGUG